UUGAAGAGAACUAUGUCGCGGCGAAAGGGAGGGAGAGAGUCAUUUACUCAAUCCCUCGACCACUUCUCACAAAAUAAAUCCGGUGAAGAGUUAAGGUUCUUUAGUUAACAUGAAUAUUAGAAUCCAUGAAGAUUAAAGCAUCUACAGCCGGACAUAACAAAUAUGACCCCCUAAACGUUUACGGACGCAUCCGGUCAAUGAUCGGACGUGUUCCUUAUUUGUCCGUCCACACGGUCACAUUUUUUUUUAUGUCCGAUCACUUGCACGUGACCGAUGGAAAGGAAGAGAGAGGAAAAAAAAAUAUCGAAUAAAGAAACAGAAAAGAUGGUCCGGGAUGGGGCUACGUCCUACAUGACGGACUGGACGGAUGCGUCCGAACGGGUCGGCAAGCCCUUAUAUCCUCGCCAUAUCUAAGAUGGAUACAAGAGUUCGCGGACAGCUCAGACGUAUACGAUGAUAUGAGGGGUCCGGUUAGAUCAUUUUUUUUCUCUCUUGUUCGGUCAUUCAUCGGACACGACCGCGAACGUAUGAGGGAUCGUUUGAGUCAUCCGGUUAUAGAUAUUCUCAGAGUUUCAUGCCCUCUUAAAUCUUACGGAACUAAUAGAACUACUCCUUCCAUCCCAAGAUAAAUGACGUAAUUUUAAGUGCAAGAAUUACGAAGGAAUGUUUGAUAGUCUGUUAGCAUAGGAAAAGCAAUGGAAGUCUACAAAAAUGUUUGAGUGUAUGGAUAUUUUCCUGUCAAAUAUAUAAUAUAAACAAAUCCUACAAAAAAUCAUAACACAAAAAGGUUCCUGAAGAUUUAAAUCCUCCGAAAAUUCUGUAAAAUUUCUUUGAAUCCAAGGAAGCUCGAAACUGUUUGAUGCAUGCUUUCGUCCUUAUUACUGCCAAAUCUAUGGUCCCAAGGACUUUUUAUAACUACUUAACUAGUUACUCUUUGAAGGAGACAACGUAUAAACAUACACAGAAAUGGACNNNNNN
rnacentral:lncRNA from 1 species